AUGCACAUUAUCUUGAUGUUUCUUCAACAGUAUGUUGUACAACAUGUAUUUAGGUUUAUUUAUUGAUAUUUCAGAGUUUCGUAUGUGACCUUGUCCUGGGAGUGAACUUGGAAGAGACGGGUAUUUCUCGCAGUGCUAACCAAGUAUCAGUUCAGCUCAGAAGUCUGACAACUGUGUCAUACUUAAUGUUUUAAAGGUGAAUCAUAAGCCAAGCUCUAGACCACUGCAGGUCUGACUUUGACGGUUGAGGCAAAUUCAGUGACACAUUCAAAGGCUCCUGAAAUCACCUGAGACUGACAGACACAGCUCUGGUUCGGCCUGAUGCUCAAGGAUGAUGACCACAGCCAAAGAAGUACGCAGGAUUUUGGAAAUACCGAGGUCCAAAAACUGAAUUUGUCCCAAACAAAAAAAUUGACUUUCUUGAUCUACAUACAGUAUGUGCAUUUUAAAAUGCUUGGAGUGCAAAUUACAUAACAAUUGCUAAAACCAUCUCUAUCUUUUCAUGUUUAUCAGUAAUGAAAGUAAACACACGGUCAAUUGAUAUUUUUAUACAAAUACUACCAGAUUGAAAUACAACCUGUCUUUCAUAAAGGAGCAUAAUGCAUUUGGGUUUGAAAUUACAUAAAGGUAAGAUGUUUCCAUUUUUGAGUGAACUGUCCCUUUAACUUUUUGUGUAGCUACAGAAGUUGCAGACACUUAGGUUUUUAUUAAAAAUAGUGUUUUUUAUAAUAAAAACAACUUAAAAUAAUAUAGAAACAGAAUUAAAGAACGAGAAUUUGUCUAAAAGUGAUGCAUUUGAAUUAUUUGCUUAUCGUAUAGUUGUUUUAAUAGGCUAACAGCAACCUAUAAACACACCUGAGUCAAAGCCACGCAGUUUAGCAUGAACUAGUGAAGGUCUGGUAAUGUUUUUGUCGCGUCAAACUGACAUUAAACACGUAAAUGAUAUGUUUUGUAGUUUAGAUUACUGGAUAUUACAAUCGGUCGUUUACUCAGGUUUGUUGUUUAAAUGUUGACGCGCGUCAAGCACGCUCAUAACGUGAGCGCAAACUCCCGGGCGCUCUGAAAAGAGGGAGAAAGCGACGCAGUCAGCGUUUUGCACGCAUUUUUAGACGCGACAUGUGAAUGGCCGCUAACAUUUCAAUGAUAAAACAUUAAACAGUUAGCUACGUACAUCGCGCUCUUUCACAGUAGAAACUGAACUCGAGCUUGACUUCUGUCAAUAGCAACUCACGUCUUCUUUCAUGUGAUUGGACAGUAAUCCUCGCCUUUCUUCGUUUGAUUGGCCAACUCAAUCAGAUUGACACUUAAAAGAGCGCUGUUAAACAGCUGAGGUAGAUCUAGAUCUAGGCGUUUUCUACAAAAUUGGCAGUACUAAAUACAGUUUUUUUCACGAUAAAAACUACCGAGGUCUGGACCUCGGGGACCUCAAUGGUGGGUACGGCCAUGACCACAGCCAUAGAUGGAAAGUGGUGGGAAUCUGUGAUGAUCAUGGCCUGCAAAUUUGAGCCCCAUGCCAGACCUUACUUUUGUUUGGCCAGAAACUCCAAAACUAAAAAUAAUGGAUGUAAUUAUCUGCCACUUAACACAGAAAACAAUAAAAGAUUAACUCAUUUUAUUGCCUGUCUGACUUCUUGGCUGCACUCUUGGCUGCACUGCUUGCUGUAUAAUCUUGCUGACCAGUUAACUUUAAAUAGUAAUCAUGUAUUUUUAUAAAUUUCCUGGUUAUAUAUAUACUUUUAUUUCUAUACAUUUUUUGUUCUCACAUUUCUACUGAUUUUGUGCUAAAAUGGGCUAAAACUUAUUUCUUUACUUUUUCCUAUGUCUCUGUUUAGGGCUAAUAUGUUUUUUUUCUGUAAAGCUGCUUUGCAACAAUGCAAAAUUGUGAAAGGUAUUAAUAUGUACAAAAUGUUGCAUUUAAUGAUGUGACCAGUAGGAAAUAAAAGUAUUACUUGAUUUCCAUGUCUUGCUUAUUGUUUUUACAAGGUAAAACAGAAAUAGAAAAUCAUAAAAUCUAUAAAAAAUAAAUGAAUGAAUGAAUAAAAAUACCUAAAUUAAAACCCCUCCUGUUUUCUGAUAAAGAUAGGGUUCUUUAUAGCACCACUGAAGUUCUAUGUAGAACUUUUCAAGGCAGGAUUCUUUGUGGAACCUCAUAAAAAGGGUUCUAUAUAGCACCAAAAGGGUUCUGCUGUUGCCGAAGCCGAAGAACCCUUUUUUGGUACUAUUUAGAACCAUUUUUCUUAAGAGUGUAUA